rnacentral:rRNA from 1 species
GGUCGAGCGGAUAGGCCGAGGAUUUGUGGGGCGCUCGAGUGUCUAUGGGCCUUUCCUGACUGAAUGACUGCCCCUGGCUUUGCGAUAACUUCUAGAUACUGGGGCUAUCACCGCAGAAGACCUCCGGCUGCAUGGGGGGGGUUGGAUCCUUUCGUUCCGUGCCGAUGGACUCGCUUUAUUAACCCCUUGUGGGGAGUACAGCCGCUUAGCUAAAACUCAAAUGAUUUGCCGGAUUCACUAGUGACCUCCCACCUUGGGACUGAGAUACGGCCCAAACUCCUACGGGAGGCAGCAGUGGGGAAUAUUGCACAAUGGGCGGAAGCCUGAUGCAGCAACGCCGCGUGCGGGAUGACGGCCUUCGGGUUGUAAACCGCUUUCGCCUGUGACGAAGCGUGAGUGACGGUAAUGGGUAAAGAAGCACCGGCUAACUACGUGCCACCAGCCGCGGUGAUACGUAGGGUGCGAGCGUUGUCCGGAUUUAUUGGGC